rfam:Trichosporon oleaginosus strain IBC0246 unplaced genomic scaffold CC85scaffold_52, whole genome shotgun sequence.
GCUCGGGUAUUGUAGCCUGGUUAACAAUUUCGACUUUGAUGUUCAAUUCAGAAUCAAUCUCGAACAACCCGGGUUCGAAUCCCGGCCUGAGCU